GAUGAACGCUGGCGGCGUGCCUAAUACAUGCAAGUCGAACGCUGGAAAUCUAGCUUGCUAGAUUGAAGGAGUGGCGAACGGGUGAGUAAUACAUAAGCAACCUACCCACGAAGACUGGGAUAAUCUCUGGAAACGGGGACUAAUACCGGAUAGGUAAUCGGAAGGCAUCUUCUGAUUAUUAAAUGUUAAAAACACUGGUGGAUGGGCUUAUGGCGCAUUAGUUAGUUGGUGAGGUAACGGCCCACCAAGACGAUGAUGCGUAGCCGGCCUGAGAGGGUGAACGGCCACAUUGGGACUGAGACACGGCCCAGACUCCUACGGGAGGCAGCAGUAGGGAAUUUUCGGCAAGGGGGGAAACCCUGACCGAGCAACGCCGCGUGAGUGAUGACGGCCUUCGGGUUGUAAAGCUCUGUUGUAAGGGAAGAAUGGUAGAUAGAGAAUAUCUAAAUGACGGUACCUUAACAGAAAGCCACGGCUAACUACGUG
rnacentral:rRNA from 1 species